CCUACGGGAGGCAGCAGUGAGGAAUAUUGGUCAAUGGACGAGAGUCUGAACCAGCCAAGUAGCGUGAAGGAUGACUGCCCUAUGGGUUGUAAACUUCUUUUAUAUGGGAAUAAAAUGUUCCACGUGUGGGAUUUUGUAUGUACCAUAUGAAUAAGGAUCGGCUAACUCCGUGCCAGCAGCCGCGGUAAUACGGAGGAUCCGAGCGUUAUCCGGAUUUAUUGGGUUUAAAGGGAGCGUAGGUGGAUUGUUAAGUCAGUUGUGAAAGUUUGCGGCUCAACCGUAAAAUUGCAGUUGAAACGGGGAGUCUUGAGUACAGUAGAGGUGGGCGGAAUUCGUGGUGUAGCGGUGAAAUGCUUAGAUAUCACGAAGAACUCCGAUUGCGAAGGCAGCUCACUGGACUGCAACUGACACUGAGGCUCGAAAGUGUGGGUAUCAAACAGGAUUAGAUACCCCAGUAGUC
rnacentral:rRNA from 1 species